GGGUACGGGGUCUCAGUGAAGCUCGACUGAGGCCCUGUGCGUCGGGAUUGUUACCUGAUGUUGUUAAAAGAGCUUUUG
rfam:Beluga Whale coronavirus SW1, complete genome